AGGUUCUCGCCUAUAUCUGCAAUUUAUAUCUAUAUAUUAAGUUUUGUUACCUUGAACUCUUUCAAGUUUUUGUUACACAACUUUAUAUUUCAGAUUCUUUUUGUUCUUCCUUAGGUUCAAAUGUAUCAGUUGUUUUUGUUGACAGAUAUCAAGUCAUUUCAGUUCUCAAUUAUUUUGUGCACCAAGUUACAAGAAAAAAUUUAAGCAAGAGAGGUCACUACACUAAGACUUUGUCUUCUCAUAAGAAAGGAUGGCUGCCUGGUCAUGUGAUAUGUGCACUGGACUGUGUAUGGUCAUCUUGAUGCUCAUAUCUUGCCUGAUGACAUUUAUUCUGCUGAACAUUUGGUCAAGGAAGUAGAUUCUCUUCAGCUCUCAAGAAACAUUCAAAACAUGUCAAACAUUCGACAAGAAUAUCAAGUGCAAUGUACAUACCAACAUGAUGAAAAGGUAGACAACAUGAAGAUGUAGACCAACAUGAUGAAGAUGUAGACCAACAUGAAGAGGUAGACCAGCAUGAUGAAGAUGUAGACCAACAUGAUGAAGAUGUAGACCAACAUGAAGAUGAAAUGUAAACCAAAAAAUGGGUCAAGAGAUGUAUGGAAUACAAUGUGAACAUCUUGAGAAGUAAAACAAUUCCUAGAGGCAAAGACACAGACACACCAGAUCUAUUAGAGAUUUUCCUUUUCUACCAUCAUUUCCUUGUGCUCUAAGGGAAUAUGUCAUUAUCUUUUGAUUGCUAAUUGGCAUUGAUGUUUUUACAUUCCUACUGCGUCUGAAAGAAAUUAACAUUUCCCUAAUGCUACUUCAAAACCAGACCUUCUCAAGACAAUUUUAGUGACCAAGCUGCAAUAUGGGACUCAGUAGGAAACAAUGAAGAAUGCUCCUAACCUCAGGUUGAGUAACCAUGCUCACCUACUAGAGUGGCGACAAAUACUUCUACACCCACAGUUAUACAUCCUGAACCCUGUAACCCAACCUCACAACAUGGUUACAUUACCGGAAGUGGUCGCAAGGUCAGAAAACCUAACAGAUACAAUGGAUAGAACAAUGAACAGGUACAAGUACUCAAGUGAUGUACUUUGUGAGAACUAUUUAGGUGGAAUCACCAUAAUUGACUUGUAUAAAUCUUGUUCUAUAUUUAGGUAUAUCUUGACAAUCAGUCCAGUCAUUUGUUCAUUUUUUUUUUAAAUAUUCCUUUUUUUUCCCUCAAUCUUCUUGUUGUUUCAGUUACAUGUCUUUGUAUUUUGAAGGAGGAAGGUGCUUUGGUAUAUUAUCCUUAUUAUUAUUGUACCAGUAUUAAGCAAACUUGUAUAUCUUUAAUUAUUCAUGAAUUCUAAAGCAGACCGUCACUUCCACCGGAAAAUGUUGUAACAACUAUACGUGUCUUCAGUUAACAUUCAAUACUCUGUACAGUCACAACGCCAAAGCCUUGCUAGAUUAUGCUUUCGAUUCAAUUUGUUAUCUCCCCUGCUUUAGUGUGCUAUCAUAUAAUUUUUUGUGUCACAUCCCUGCACAAUUUGUUCUAUGCUUUUUUACAGUAUAAAUAGCGACUUGACAUUAUUUAGCUCUAUUAUAAUAUUGUUAUAUUAUUAUAUUUAAAAUAAAACUGUUAACAUAUUCUAUGCUGUUAUAAUAUAAAUGUUUUGCUGUUACCAUGAAUACAGUUUUGAGUUUUUGUCUGAUAUCUUAGAGGAGAAAUUUUCCAUAAAUAAUAAUAAUAAGGCUUAUCUUCAAGUCCGAAGAUUAGUGAGAAGUAUGCAGUAUUCCCCAGCUAGGACCUACAUAUUUUACUAUAAAUAAAGAGUAUAAUAAUAUUUACUACUUGGUAUUGUCAGUCUUCACUAAAGCAAUGAGUUUAUCCCCUUAGUGUGUUUAAAAUUUUCAAAUACUAAUUCACUUUGUAUUAUCUAUUGGUGAUCAUGGGGUAUCCACUUUGUCAUCUCCAUAGUCUCUGGUGUUAACACUCACUGUCCUGUUGGAGGUUACGGCUAGGAUGUAAUCUCUCUUUCUGAUGGAACACAUGUAAAACCAACAAAACAAACAUUAGACCUAGACUUUAUUAACAGGUAAAUUUUUAUAAUUGUGAACUGGCGCUCCCAAAGCUACUUUUAUGUAUUUUAAAUUUUACUUCUGCAGGCUAGUGCUAAGCUGUAUACUUGUAUUUCUGCCUAUUAUAUGGGUUAGGGUGGAGUACUUAAAAUAGAGCCUAUGCUGUUUCCUGUACUGUUGACCAGUGGUCUCUGUGUCAGUUUUAAUUAUUCUGUACCUGGGACUGCCUGUAAGUUUCAGAAUUUUUCUUUUAUUUUUUAAAAUUUUACUAUGUGUAAAUCUGUUUUAUAUUUGAACAACUGUCAAAAUAACUAGCAGUUUUUUUUUUUCUAAAGUUUGUUUUAAAAAUAUGGCCAAGCCCUGCCCAGUGCUGUCAUGAUGGCCACUUCUAAUGUUUAUGUACUAGAUUGUAACUGAAAUUAAAGUCUCAUUUGAAUUUC